GGAGGGGUCGCAUAGCGGCCUAGUGCGGUGGUCUUGAAAACCACUAUAUCCGCAAGGAUAUCGAGGGUUCGAAUCCCUCCCCCUCCGCCA
rnacentral:tRNA from 1 species